rnacentral:lncRNA from 1 species
GAGCUCCACGUAGUAAAAUGUAUUUAGUUUUUGGUUGGUUAAAAGAGGGGUUGCUCUGAUCGUAAGCAACCCCACUUCCAACCGAGAGGUUGUAAGUUCGAGUCUCCCCAAGAGCAAGGUGGGGAAAUUCUUGGAGGGAAGGAUGCCGGGGGUCUAUUUUGGAAACAGCCUCUCUACCCAAGGGUAGGGGUAAGGUCAGAUUGAAUGUCAUUUCAGGUGUAGUGGUUGCUCUGAUGGUAAGCAAUUCCCACUUCCAACGGAGAGGUUGUGAGUUUGAGUCUCCCCAAGAGCAAGGUGGGAAGUUUUUGGAGGGAAGGAUGUCGAGGGUUUAUAUGAAAACAGCCUCUUUACCCAAGGGUAGAGGUAAGGUCUGCGUACAUACUAUCCUCCCCAGACUUCAAUAAGUGAAAUUAUAUUAGGUUGUUGUUGUUGUUGGUUAAAAGAGGGGUAAAAUGGUAUUUCGAGUAAUUGAUGAUACACCGAAAAUGAGAUAAGACGGUUUAGGAGAACCGGUCCGGUCGACC